rnacentral:rRNA from 1 species
UUACGGGAGGCAGCAGUGGGGAAUAUUGCGCAAUGGGGGAAACCCUGACGCAGCAACGCCGCGUGAAUGAAGAAGGCCUUAGGGUUGUAAAGUUCUGUUUACGGGGAAGAUAAUGACGGUACCCGUGGAGGAAGCCACGGCUAACUACGUGCCAGCAGCCGCGGUAAUACGUAGGUGGCAAGCGUUGUCCGGAUUUACUGGGCGUAAAGGAUGCGUAGGCGGAUGUUUAAGUGAGAUGUGAAAUACCCGAGCUCAACUUGGGUGCUGCAUUUCAAACUGGAUAUCUAGAGUGCAGGAGAGGAAAGCGGAAUUCCUAGUGUAGCGGUGAAAUGCGUAGAGAUUAGGAAGAACACCAGUGGCGAAGGCGGCUCUCUGGACUGUAACUGACGCUGAGGCAUGAAAGCGUGGGGAGCAAACAGGAUUAGAUACCCCAGUAGUCCG